GUAGCAUUUUGGUUGAAUAACUUGCUCAGAAUAAUCAUAAAUUCAGAUCUGAGAUAACAUGGGCUUAGUCUGCAGCUGAAGUCGUCGUUUUCGUGAAGCUGAUGCUGAAGAAAAUGCUCAGGAUGCAGAAAUUGAAACAAGAAUCAAGUUAGAAACAAAGGUUGAAAAGCAUAUUCAGAAACUUUUAUUACUAGGUGCUGGAGAGUCUGGGAAGUCUACAAUCUUUAAGCAGGCAAGAAAUUGCAUCUUCUCAACUGCUUGUGAAUUAUGAUAGUAUAUGAUUGCUAUUGGGUGUAUUUAUACUUCUUGCAUUU